CUUUAGGGCUCUUUUGAAGAGGUUGUUCACACUGCUAGAUGUUUCUCCUCCAAAGCUGCUCUCUGCCUCCAUCAUUGUUUACUUUACUCUUGAAGCACGUAGCAGGACCCGAGCAUGACUCCGAGCGCUUUAUUCGCCUAUCAGGGGCAGACAGGUAAGGUGAUUUGAUUCGCCACGACUCCAGAAAUGAUUGAAAAACUACAGAAUGUCACAAAAUUACGUUUCCUCGCUGCUGGCUUGAAGGGUAGAAAUGCGCAGCCGCGCUCCCAGCUGACAGGAAGUCAAACCACUGUUGUAGUUCUUUUGUGUUGCUAGCGCGGUCAAGAGUGUUGGCUGUCACUGAGAGAUGACUACAAAAAUGGACGCACCUGUUCAUCUGGUUGUUUAACACGGCUGAAAAUGAUCAUCUUUUAAUGUUGUCCCCGCUCCUGCCCACUCCCGUUGCUUUUUUUCCCGUCCCGUCCUGAUCAAAGGAUUAAUUAAAAAAUGACUCCCAUCCCGCGGGAAUCACGUGACCCACGGGAAUUCCCGAAAAAUGUCAUCCUCUACAGGGAAGGUCCCGGAGCAGAUGAAACAGGUGCCGGAGCGGCUGAAAUAGGUCCCGGAUCGCGCUCCGACUUGCUCCGGCAAAAAUUAAGCACUGCUUACAAUGAUCCCCUCACGUGUGUAACCCAGGUAACCCACAACGGCGGGAGACGUUGGACACGAAGAGGGCACGUAAAGCGGCGUCAUGUCGCAAAAUCGAAAGAGAAAUGCGAGCCUACAUGUCAACGCAUCCUUUUCUUUUUAAGAAAAUAUUGUUUUCUUUCCCGUUCGACACCAAAUACACUUACUGAAUGUGCAAUUAUUGUUGUUGUUACUAUGAAUCAUCU